rnacentral:lncRNA from 1 species
UAUAUAUUCUGAAAUACCAAUUGUAUAAAAAAUCAGAGGUUUUGAUAUGCCCCCUAUGAUUUAAAGCGGUGGAUUUAGGAAUUAUAAUCAGUCUAAUUAUCGAAGUUGCUAGAAUUGGAUCGUCGUUACGUGCAAAAAGAUCUUAUUUUGUUUCAUCCCCACAUAAAAUUUGCAUACUUAUGCGUAUGUAAGUAGUUGAAGUCGCUUGAACUUCUAACUGCCUACUGAAAGUAAUUAAACACGUGUCUUGUAGUUUGCUGAGCGGGGAAAGCUUUACGACGCAUGAAAUUUUGUUUCGCGCCAUACGGAUUUGAAUGGAAAGGGAAGCCGAAAUUUUCCGAGCAAAUUUGGAAGCUAAGCGAACGCGUGUAGGUAGCCGUGGCGCGGAGUGUCAUUGUACCCUUAAAAGUCAUUUCGCUGGCACGUAUGUCAAUAAAUUAUUAGCUGACGGCGAGAUUAGCAUGCAAGGAAUAGAAAUUUGAAAUAUGGACGCCAUGAUGAUUAACAAUAGAUAUGAUGAUUUUUUAUGGAAGUUGGAUGUUUAAUUUAUUGUAACAAAAACAGUUCUAUAUGUACAUUUACAUUGGUUUUGGCAACUUUUACACAACUUACAUCAGUUUUGAUUCUUACGGAUUCCUUACAAAUUUCUUAUAAACUGCAUUUCUUCAUGUCUUCUAGGAAGAACUUCAAAAGUCAAG